GCAGGCUCCAGGCUCUGAGAUGUCAGCACAGAACCCGAUGCAGGGCUCAAACUCACAGACCACGAGAUCAUGACCUGAACCAAAGUUGGGCCCAGACGCCCUUGGCCACCUUUUUAAAGCCAGGCCAUUUUCCCAGAUUCCUUUGUUGGUAAGUGAGGCCAUGCAAUCAAGAUCUCUCCAAUGAAAUGUGAGCAGAAGUGACGUGCCAUCAUUUUGACCGGUUUAUAAAAUCUCUACGCAUGACUACUCCUUUAUUCUCCCUCUUUUGGCUUCCUGGGACUUCAAUAUCCAUCAUGACCUUACAAGCUAUGUGUCGAAGACAGAGCUUGGGUCCCCGAGCUUCACUGCUAUCCCAAACUCUCACCCUGGACUAUUAAAUGAAGAAGAAAUCAUCUUCUUGUUGGCUAUGUUGUUCUAUGCUGUUGAAAUGUUGAUAUAUAUAUUAGUUAUAGAUAUAGACAAUUAGAUAUAUUACUGCAACCUACUCUAACACUAAUUGAGAGAGAGCACUUAGCCAAAAUCCAUUCUCAUUGCACCUAUGGGAAUGUUUUUCUCCUAACAGUUAAUCUGACUGUGGGGUGUGGUUAUUUGUCUUGUUGUUGUUUUUCUGCAGCAUCCAAACAACUUUACUACUUUAAGAGAAAAUCCCCAAAGAGAUGGAACAAAGGGCCCUCCCUGUCUCAAUCUAUGGAUGCCAAAGUGGGGCAGAUAUUUCUUUUCCUCAUCUCUGGCAGCUAGCAUAGGUGUUUGACCACAGCUUGACCCAUCAGAUACUCUACCACUUUGAAUCUUGAGCAAGUGGUACAAAGAUGCGAGGGUCCUCAGGGGUUUUUCAUGGCACUUUUGGUGUCAAAAAUUGUGUUGUGUGGGAGUGAAUGGCCAGUGGUGACGAGUAGUGUUGCACCAGCAGUGUCUUUCCUUCUUUCGGAAUGUUCUUGGCCAUGUGUUGUUUCUGUUCCCUUUUCUUAACUGUGGUAGUUUAUACUGUUCAAUUAAACUAUGUCUUCUAGA